rnacentral:rRNA from 1 species
GCAAGGGGUAACUGAGUGGCGAACGGGUGAGUAACACGUGGGUGACCUGCCCUCGAGUGGGGGAUAACAUCCCGAAAGGGGUGCUAAUACCGCAUGACAUCCUGUCUUUGAACAGAUGGACAUUAAAGCCGGGGAUCGCAAGACCUGGCGCUCGUGGAGGGGCCCGCGCCCGAUUAGCUAGUUGGUGAGGUAACGGCUCACCAAGGCUACGAUCGGUAUCCGGCCUGAGAGGGCGGACGGACACACUGGGACUGAGACACGGCCCAGACUCCUACGGGAGGCAGCAGUGGGGAAUUGUUCGCAAUGGGCGAAAGCCUGACGACGCAACGCCGCGUGGAGGACGAAGAUCUUCGGGUCGUAAACUCCUUUCGAUCGGGACGAAUGAUCGGUGGCCUAAUACGUCAUCGGAAUGACGGUACCGAGAGAAGAAGCCCCGGCUAACUCCGUGCCAGCAGCCGCGGUAAUACGGGGGGGGCAAGCGUUGUUCGGAAUUACUGGGCGUAAAGGGCGCGUAGGCGGCCCUCUAAGUCAGACGUGAAAUCCCACGGCUCAACCGUGGAACUGCGUCUGAUACUGGAGGGCUUGAAUCCGGGAGAGGGAUGUGGAAUUCCAGGUGUAGCGGUGAAAUGCGUAGAUAUCUGGAGGAACACCGGUGGCGAAGGCGGCAUCCUGGACCGGUAUUGACGCUGAGGCGCGAAAGCUAGGGGAGCAAACGGGAUUAGAUACCCCGGUAGUCCUAGCCCUAAACGAUGAGUGCUUGGUGUGGCGGGUAUCGAUCCCUGCCGUGCCGAAGCUAACGCAUUAAGCACUCCGCCUGGGGAGUACGGUCGCAAGGCUG